ACAAGAAUGAUGGCAAGAAAAAAGUAUGGAGAAGGCGUGGAACAGCUCAUGAUCCAACGUAUACCACAUCAUCUGUAAAACGGCGGAGGCAGUGUGAUGUCUUGGGAGUGCAUGGUUGCCAGUGGCACUAUUGUUUAUCGAUGAUGUGACACAGGACAGAAGCAGCCGGAUGAAUUCUGAGGUGAUCAGAGACACCAGGGCAAAUUCACUAACCAGCGGAAAAUCGCCAGCAAUGGCUUCGCUCACAUCACCACACUUUGCCAGGCGAACAUUUUCUCUGACUACGCCAAAUUCACUAUGGAGUGUAAGUUCACUUCCGCGAACGGUCACUUGUGUAUCACUGUUGUGAAGUGUGCUUUUUUGGCACAAAACCAGUAACGUAGUUACGCUAUCGUUUGGUUUGGCAAGAAAAUUUGAUUGCGUAAAUGCGCUAGCGAUCAACGAAAUCUUUUUAAAGGGUAUCUAAGGAGCAGCUGGAGAGUUUACAUUUUGGGAUGAACUUGCUGGAAUACUUCUGCCUGUUAGCAACUUUCUCCAAAGAUGUCCAAGGAAGCAAGAGAAAGACACACACUUGCUGCUGCUGCUUGUCCUGCUGCACGGUUGACAAAAUCUUCUUCUUUAACUAGUAAUGUAACCUUAACCGGUUUUUCUGCUACUGUUCAGGAGACUUCUGACUCGGGUGAGGGUCCAAGUUCAGCAUUAUCUCCUCCUCUUCCAGAACCCCUUACUGAAUGUUUUCCUGAAACGGUCCAUAGCUUUUUCUUUUGCAGAAAACACUGCAUUAGUACAUCAUGUAGUUAGACACUGGGCCAAAUAGUUUGGCAAGGACUACCAGCGCACCUCCAUGGCUCACAAAACUGUCUUAUGGACAGCAAUUGUACUGUAUGUGCAGUCAGUGCUGUGGGGUGCCAAAAUAGAACCAGCAAGAAUUGCCAGAAGCGUUUUGCUGAUAACAUUUUAACAUUGCUCAUUUAAUUUCUUUUUUUGGUUUCAAUUAUUGUAAAGGACUUUAUAAUGUACCAUAACAUAUUUCUGUAAAUGUUUAUCCCUAAUCCUAUUAUUCCAGCUCAUGAAAAGCAUAAUUUUGUUGCUAUGGUACAAGUAGUUUAGCAAUUACAUGCCAAACCAUCAGGCCUGGAUUUUUCACUCUGCCGCUGCUAGGCCAGAGGGUCCUCACAUCUCCCUCUGGUGCCCUGGCUGCGCUGAGUGACAACGUGCUUGUGCGUGAUGAUGCACACACAUUGCGCAGCCCGGAAGAGGAGUUCUGCACCGCUGUCGGAAUGAAGACAUGGCGGGCUUAGUAUUAUACAUAUAUUCACAAUACAAAAGUUGAGCUCAGCUGCUGCGGCGGGUCAAUGUGGGGGGUGGUUGCUCUGCUCUAUUUUGGAAUUGGGAAUUUUUCUUACUAUAAGUUAUAGAGAAGAUGUUAGGGGUGCCUGCUUGCUUCCCCUAACAUCUUGCUGCCCCAAAUCCGUGCCUGCAAACCAUGCUUUUGCAAGUGUUUCAAAUGUAGUUGCUAUAGUACAUGUGGCAUAGCAACCUAAGUAUAGUUUUGUAUGUGUUUCAAAUGUAGUUGUUAUAGUACAUGUGGCAUAGCAACCUAAGUAUAGUUUUGUAUGUGUUUCAGAUGGAGUUGCUAUAGUACAUGUGGCAUAGCAACCUACACAAUAAAUAUUAAUUUCUAACAGCAUUUGGAUCAAAUGUUGAACUACUACUUUCAUAUAUUUUAAAAGAUGUUUCUUAAAAUGCCCUACUAAUGUAAUUGUCACAAUUUAGUUUGUUUUACCCUGCUCCUAAUGUGUGCUACAUGCUCAUGGCUAAAAUAUAACUUCUAUUGUUGUUCACUUAGGACCAGAUAACAUACGGGACUCAAACCAGCAGCAGAGUCAAGAAAUGCAUGUGGAGGAGGAAGAAUGCCAGCAAACACUACCAAUUGUAUGUGAUGAUGAUGAUGAUGUCAAAUUGAGUCUGGAAGCCAUUCCAACAGAACUAGCUGAGCCACACAAACCCUGGAAGCCAUUCCAAGAGAAGUAGCUGAGCCACAGGAAACCCAAGAGAUGCAGCCUCAACAGUAGAAGGAAACACUCCACUAUGAGCCCGAUUCAUUUCAUCAAUCAGUUGAACAGCUGACUGCAAAUCUCCCUUCAAGUAUUGCAGAAAACGGAAAAAGCUAUAUACAAAUGAAACGAGCAUUGAUUCUAAUACAUCAGGACUUCAUGUCACUAAAUGACCAUUUACAGCAGACAGCAGAUACAUCAUUGCGAUUGAAAAGGCAAACAUAUUGAUCUGAUCCUCCAUCCAAAUAAUAUUCUUAAAGCACAGAAUCAGCUCAUUAUGGCUCAAAACCAGCUACUCAAACAGCAGUAACUUGAGGGAGAAAAGUCUAACACCAUUUUUUAUUUUUAGAAAAAAAAAAGUGUACAUUACUUACCUCCAAUAUGCUGAUCUUUCCUGCUGUUUGGGUAAGACAUCAGAAAAAACUAAAACCGGCACUGUCCCAUGGCGUCCAAGGGGUCUCCGCCAUCUUCUUGCUUGUUCUACUUCUUCUACCUUACGUGUUCGCUGCUGUGUCUCUCUUCCGGGACCCGACUUCCUGGUGUGUGACGUCACUUCUGGUUUUGUGACAGACUUUAGCUCCCAGUGUUGUACUCCACACAGCCCUCAUUGGUUCCCUCUCUUUCCAUCUGUUCCCUCUACCCCACUGUUCUCUCUCUUUUCUCCAGCAUUUCUAUCUUCUCUGCCUCCCCCUGCAUUUCUCUCUCCCCAUGCUCAGCCAUUCUUGUUACAUUCCCUCCCCCCAGCGUUUAGCUCUCUCUCCCCGCAGACUCUCUUGCCAAAGCCUUUCUGUUCCGUUCUAUCCCUCAGAAUUGAUCUCUCUCCCCCGCAGCCUUUUUCUCCCUGCAGCCUUUUUCUCCACGCAGACUUUCUCCCCACAGCCUCUGUCCCCUCAGCCGUUCUCUCCCUGGAGCCUUUCCCUGCCCUCAGCCUUUCUCUCCCACAGCAGUUUUGCUCACCCCUGCCUGUUGAUGCUGUGCCUCUGGCUCCCACUACCUUACUUACCUCCUGGCAGUAUUCUGACUUCGGGUUCCUUACUUCCAGUGCUGUGCAGUGGAACAGCACUGAAGGGGACAAUGAACCGACUGCUACUGGAACCUUUGGAUUUCGUCUGACCAACAAUGCCUAGUAUUCCGGAUCCCGGGAACUUGCACAAAGAAACAUCAGAAUAACAAGUUCCGUUUAUUGAAGUGAGAAGAUGCCAGGGCUAGAAGCUCUCAAUGAUAAGGCUGCAUGAGUUGGUCAGCUGACCAAUGAUGAUGUGCCUUUGUGGGUCCAAAACAAACGGGACCACAAAAGACACAUUAUGUCCAGGCUCCAAAGGAGGAUCCGGCGCCUCUGCAGAACCAGGUUUGAUCUCUGCAUCCUACAAAGGAUGUGGAGUGACAUCAAGUGGAGGGAGUCUGAGUUUGUGGCCCAAGUGGACCUGCAUCUCCACACAUUUGUUUUUAAACAGGGUCACUGCCCCCUUUCGAAAGCUAGAAAGAAAAAUGGAAAUAAUUCAGAAACUAUGAAAAAAAUUUGAAUAAACAACAAUUGAAAAGGAUGGGAGGAGGGUCACCAACACCCCAAACAUGCUCCUCAAGAAGGAGAUCAAGAGCAGCAGCUGGAGGGAAAGCCGCAGCUGGAGGAGAGCUGGAAGUAGCAGAAGACAUCUGGGUAGAUGAGUUCAGCGGUUCACCACAAAUGAGCCCCACAAUUGAAGAAAUCCACACACCAGAGCCAUAAGGGCAACCCAGCUAGAGGAGGCUAAAGCAGACUGGCUACAGGUGGAAGGGAGCCUGGAGGGAAGAAGCCCGGAGGUCAUCCGCAGGUGUGCCGCCAGCUCCAGCAACUGGAGAAAAGGGUGGCCCUCCUGAAACAGUCAAAAAAAAAUAAAAACUUCUGAUUUUAAAAAAAAAUAAACAUUUUUUGUACCUCAAAA